UGGGGAAUAUUGCGCAAUGGGCGAAAGCCUGACCCAGCAACGCCGCGUGAAGGAUGAAGUAUUUCGGUAUGUAAACUUCGUAAGAAUAGGAAGAAUAAAUGACGGUACUAUUUGUAAGGUCCGGCUAACUACGUGCCAGCAGCCGCGGUAAUACGAAGGGGGCUAGCGUUGUUCGGAAUCACUGGGCGUAAAGCGCACGUAGGCGGAUGUGCCAGUCAGGGGUGAAAUCCCGGAGCUCAACUCCGGAACUGCCUCUGAUACUGCACGUCUUGAGUUCGAGAGAGGUGGGUGGAAUUCCUAGUGUAGCGGUGAAAUGCGUAGAUAUCAAGAGGAACACCUGAGGUGAAGACGGGUUGCUGGGCUGACACUGACGCUGAGGCGCGAAAGCCAGGGGAGCAAACGGGAUUAGAUACCCUCGUAGUCCCUGAGCGGGCUGGCAAGGCGCAU
rnacentral:rRNA from 1 species